GGACAGGUGACGUUCUCAGGGGAAAGCGCUCAUUACGAAGGAGUUUCUCUCAGAUCGAGUAGUAGUCUUCGCUUGCCACUGGAGGAGGGUGUUUGGUCUUUUAAAUCGUGUAAUAAAUUUGCCGAGUCGCUUUAACCAUUUUGGAAAAAGGAGGCGCAAUGAAAGUGAUCUUCAUUUUGACAGCGUUGUUAAGUGUUGGGUGUUCGGGCAGUCCUGUCAAAACAGAGAGACCUAGUACAACCACCCUCCGAAGUUUGCCUGGAGCUCCCCCAACAAGAACAACACCAUCCACAACUACAUAUCCAGAGUUGGAUUCCCCUUAUGCAAUGCCACCACUUCUUGCUGAGCUGGUGAGAGAGAACAAGUUGGCGCCUGCAACUGAAAUAGUUCCUAUUCCAAUACAGCUUUGGUUGUUAUGAUGGUAUUCGAAGUCUUUACAGUUAGCUCUGAAUUUCAUUUUAUUCUCUUACACCAACCUCGGCUUCUUCAUAUACUGGUUAUCGAUAGAUGGUGGGUGUAAAUACGUUUAUACGCAUAAGUAAAUCGUCUUGUCGAGCAGUAAACAUGCCUGGUCUGAUAUAAAAAUUGUUCUGAACACAAAUCUAGUUUUCAUUUCUUCAGGGAUAAACACCUAAUUUCUUCGCACCCCCCCCCCUUUUUUUUUUUACAAAGAUAGCUAAUUAGCUCAAAGCAAAUGAAGAUCUUUAUAACUAAUUGAUGUAAUAAGAACACCAGUGCUCAAUUUCAUUCAUUGAGUCCAAACAGUUAGUUACUCUGAAGGCAGCGACACGAUUGACUAAACAGAUCUUUCUGACUACCAAAAUUCUGCAACAGGGCAGCGAGGCUUCUAAGAUAAAUCUUACAUCUAUUAGACUGGACUUAGUGAAACAACAACCCUUAAUGUAUAAUCGAAGCCAUUCGAAAAUAUAUGUCGUUAAAAAAAACAUAAUUCAAAAUCAGAAAUAUCUUUUGUGUCCUUUUAUGUGAAAUUGCCCCAUUGAGUUUUGGACUGGUGCUGUUGGACACAGCAAUAUUUUCCAUUUCAGUUCAUCAGCCGCCACAGAAUUGCAAAUUCACCGCUUGAUGAUUAGCUAACUGAUGGCUUUUCCAUUGGACUUUUGUUCUGCAUUUGCAGAGAUUGCCUACCGCCGAUAGCCGCGGUGUUUUGCCCAAUGAAAGUGAGAGAGGAAAAAGAGAAUAGUACAGCUUGUAACUUUCGCCGAUUUUUUAAAAUAACUCGUAUAAUUUGGGUUUACACACACAUU